UACGUAGGGUGUGAGCGUUGUCCGGAAUUAUUGGGCGUAAAGAGCUCGUAGGCGGUUUGUCACGUCUGCUGUGAAAUCCCGAGGCUCAACCUCGGGCCUGCAGUGGGUACGGGCAGACUGGAGUGCGGUAGGGGAGAAUGGAAUUCCUGGUGUAGCGGUGGAAUGCGCAGAUAUCAGGAGGAACACCGAUGGCGAAGGCAGUUCUCUGGGCCGUAACUGACGCUGAGGAGCGAAAGCGUGGGGAGCGAACAGG
rnacentral:rRNA from 1 species